rnacentral:lncRNA from 10 species
CCCAGGGGGCUUCACUGUUCAGUGUCACUAAGAAGCAGCUGGGGGCAGGAAGCAGAGAAGAAUGUGCAGCAAAAUGUGAGGAGGACAAAGAAUUCACCUGCAGGGCAUUCCAAUAUCACAGUAAAGAGCAACAAUGUGUGAUAAUGGCUGAAAACAAGAAGUCCUCCAUAAUCAUUAGGAUGAGAGAUGUAGUUUUAUUUGAAAAGUAAAUGUAUCUUUCAGAGUGCAAGACUGGGAAUGGAAAGAACUACAGAGGGACGAUGUCCAAAACAAAAAAUGGCAUCACCUGUCAAAAAUGGAGUUCCACUUCUCCCCGCAGACCUAGGUAAGACUUUCCCUUUCAUCUUUGUGUUCAUCUACUGUAAAGUUGUCCCUCUGUGUCUGUGAGGGAUUGGUUCCAGGACCCCUGUGGCUACCAAAAUCCAUGCUUCUCAAGUCCCUUAUGUAAAAUGGUGCAGUAUUUGCAUAUAACCUACAUACCUUCUCUUGUGCAAUCCCUAAUAUAAUGUAAAUGCUAUGUAAUCGUUGUUAUGCUGUAUUGUUUUUAUUUGUAUUAUGUUUUAUUGUCAUAUUGUUAUUUUCUCUCAUCUUUUUCAAGUCUUUUCCAUCCACAGUUGGUUGAAUUUGUGGAUGUGGAACCCAUGGAUACAGAGGGCCAACUGUAUUUAGGAUAAUUUCAUCACUUUUAAUUCAAACCAG